rnacentral:rRNA from 1 species
AUUGAACGCUGGCGGCAGGCCUAACACAUGCAAGUCGAACGGUAACAGGAAGAAGCUUGCUUCUUUGCUGACGAGGGGCGGACGGGUGAGUAAUGUCUGGGAAACUGCCUGAUGGAGGGGGAUAACUACUGGAAACGGUAGCUAAUACCGCAUAACGUCGCAAGACCAAAGAGGGGGACCUUCGGGCCUCUUGCCAUCGGAUGUGCCCAGAUGGGAUUAGCUAGUAGGUGGGGUAACGGCUCACCUAGGCGACGAUCCCUAGCUGGUCUGAGAGGAUGACCAGCCACACUGGAACUGAGACACGGUCCAGACUCCUACGGGAGGCAGCAGUGGGGAAUAUUGCACAAUGGGCGCAAGCCUGAUGCAGCCAUGCCGCGUGUAUGAAGAAGGCCUUCGGGUUGUAAAGUACUUUCAGCGGGGAGGAAGGGAGUAAAGUUAAUACCUUUACUCAUUGACGUUACCCGCAGAAGAAGCACCGGCUAACUCCGUG